ACAAACAGAAGUAUUGGAGAAAGAAACUUUUACUAGGAGCCAUAGAGAUAAAACAAAACAUUUAUACAAACAGAAGUAUUGGAGAAAGAAACUUUUACUAGGAGCCAUAGAGAUAGUACCGCAAGGGAAGAACAUAUAAUUUAUAAGCACAAAUAAGCAAAGAUUAGACCUUGUACCUUUUGCAUAAUGAGUUAACUAGAAAUCUACUAACUAAGAGAACUAUAGCUAGAGACCCCGAAACCAAACGAGCUACCUAAGAGCAAUUUUCAGAAUGAACCCGUCUAUGUGGCAAAAUAGUGGGAUGACUUCUAGGUAGAGGCGAAAAACCUAACGAGCUUGGUGAUAGCUGGUUACCCAAAAAACGAAUUUCAGUUCAACUUUAAGUCUACCACAAGAACCCAAAAAUCCAAAUGUAGGCUUAAAUUAUAACCUGAAGGGGGACAGCCCUUCAGGAAAAGGAAAAAACCUUAAAUAGUGAAUAAGCCAUUAUAUACAUUAAAUCAUUGUUGGCCUAAAAGCAGCCACCAAUAAAGAAAGCGUUCAAGCUCAACAUUAUAAACACAUCAAUACCAAGAAUAUAUAGCGAAUUCCUAUAAAUACAAUUGGGUCAAUCUAUUAUUACAUAGAUGAGAUACUGUUAAUAUGAGUAACAAGAAUUUUAUUCUCCAUGCAUAAGCGUAUAACAACUCGGAUAACCAUUGUUAGUUAACAACCAUAGGUAAUCAAUCUACUAAUAAAACUAAACCUAAAAUAACAUGUUAACCCAACACAGGAAUGCAUAAUGGAAAGAUUAAAAGAAAUAAAAGGAACUCGGCAAACAAGAACCCCGCCUGUUUACCAAAAACAUCACCUCUAGCAUUUCAAGUAUUAGAGGCACUGCCUGCCCAGUGACUAACGUUAAACGGCCGCGGUAUCCUGACCGUGCAAAGGUAGCAUAAUCACUUGUUCCUUAAUUAGGGACUAGAAUGAAUGGCUUAACGAGGGUUCAACUGUCUCUUAUUUCCAAUCAGUGAAAUUGACCUCCCCGUGAAGAGGCGGGGAUAAAAAAAUAAGACGAGAAGACCCUAUGGAGCUUUAAUUUUCAACUUAAUUUUACACAACAUAUUUCCCUACUGGGCCAACAAGACAAAAACUUAAGUUUACAAUUUCGGUUGGGGUGACCUCGGAGAAUAAAAAAACCUCCGAAAGAUUAUAGCCAAGACUCACAAGUCCAAGCACCUAUAAUCCAAUUGACCCAAUUUUUGAUCAACGGACCAAGUUACCCUAGGGAUAACAGCGCAAUCCUAUUCAAGAGUCCAUAUCGACAAUUAGGGUUUACGACCUCGAUGUUGGAUCAGGACAUCCCAAUGGUGUAGAAGCUAUUAAUGGUUCGUUUGUUCAACGAUUAAAGUCCUACGUGAUCUGAGUUCAGACCGGAGUAAUCCAGGUCGGUUUCUAUCUAUUUACGAUUUCUCCCAGUACGAAAGGAUAAGAGAAAUGGAGCCACCUUACACUAAGAGCCCCCAAACUAAUUAAUGAAACCAUCUCAAUUUUGUAAAUUCGUAAUACUAACACCCUAGACAAGGGUU
rnacentral:rRNA from 1 species